rnacentral:rRNA from 1 species
CUAUCGGGGUUCGAUUAAGCCAUGCGAGUCGAGAGGGUUCGGCCCUCGGCGUACUGCUCAGUAACACGUGGAUAACCUGCCCUAAGGAAGGGGAUAACCCCGGGAAACUGGGGAUAAUACCCUAUAGGUUACCGAUGCUGGAAUGCUCGGUAACUCAAAGUCCCGACGCCUUAGGAUGGAUCUGCGGCCGAUUAGGUUGUUGUUGGGGUAACGGCCCAACAAGCCCGUAAUCGGUACGGGUUGUGGGAGCAAGAGCCCGGAGUUGGAUUCUGAGACNNNAAUCCAGGCCCUACGGGGCGCAGCAGGCGCGAAAACUUUACAAUGCGGGCAACCGUGAUAAGGGAACCUCGAGUGCCUGUAUAUGCAGGCUGUCCAGGUGUCUAAAACACACCUGAAGAAAGGGCCGGGCAAGACCGGUGCCAGCCGCCGCGGUAAUAUCGGCGGCUCGAGUGGUGGCCGCUUUUAUUGGGCUUAAAGCGUUCGUAGCUGGGUCGUUAAGUCUCUUGGGAAAUCUGGCAGCUCAACUGUCAGGCGUCUAAGGGAUACUGGCGAUCUUGGAACCGGGAGAGGUGAGGGGUACUUCGGGGGUAGGAGUGAAAUCCUGUAAUCCUCGAGGGACCACCUGUGGCGAAGGCGCCUCACCAGAACGGCUUCGACAGUGAGGGACGAAAGCUGGGGGAGCAAACCGGAUUAGAUACCCGGGUAGUCCCAGCCGUAAACGAUGUGCGUUAGGUGUAUCGACGACCACGUGUCGUCGAGGUGCCGAAGGGAAACCGUGAAACGUACCGCCUGGGAAGUACGGUCGCAAGGCUGAAACUUAAAGGAAUUGGCGGGGGAGCACCACAACAGGUGGAGCCUGCGGUUUAAUUGGACUCAACGCCGGAAAUCUCACCGGAUAGGACAGCAGAAUGAUUGCCGGGCUGAAGACUCUGCAUGACUAGCUGAGAGGAGGUGCAUGGCCGUCGUCAGUUCGUACUGUGAAGCAUCCUGUUUAGUCA